AUGAGCGAGAAUAAUCCCAAAACCCCUCUUCCACCGUCUUCAACCAAAUAUUCACGAAACAAAACCCACAUCAACCCACCGGAAACAGCAAUUCCAGAUACCGCAACCCUAAGAGAUCAAUGGAAAUUCGCCGUCAGACAGUACAGUAAAUGGGUGAAAAUCCCAUACCCUCUUUCAACUCCAAUAACAACAAACCUUCUUCAUCUCAUCAAGACAAGGAUAAACCUCCCAAACCCCACUGAUUUCAACCUUUCUUUUCGACCCCAUUCACUGGAAUGA